rnacentral:piRNA from 1 species
UAUCAAAGGGCCCUGUUCUUGUGAAUG